AGCAAAACCACAGUUUUUUUUUUUUUAAUUUAACAUUUUUGACACCUGAAUCUCCAUUUAGUGGAUCUCUGCUUCUCACCUCAUGGGGCUGUGGAUUGCUGCGCUCACUUCGUUGCUGGGAGUCCUCCUUGCUCAAGAAGUGCAGCAAAUCUCUAUAGAGGACUGCUGCAAAGACGGCCAGAGCCGCGCCAGUGACAACCAGGCCUGUUCGACCCUCCCGCUCAUCUCCGAGUCCCCAACAUGCAGAACCGUGCAGGAGCAGUGCUGUGUUGCGGUGCUUGAAGACAACAUGUGUACCACCGGAAUCACUGUGGCCAAAGACCAAGGGGCAUGUGAUUCCUUGUUCUCCAACACCUGUGAGACCAAGACCACCAAGAUGUGCUGCGACUGCUGCCUCCUGGCGAAGACGGGCCAGGACCAGGGACUUCCGUGCGACCACAAUCUGUCUCUGGGCUACCAGUGCGGCCUGGUGUACCGGGCCUGCUGCGUGGAUGGAACUCCCGACAAUCAGACGGCGCUCACUAGUCAGAUUGAACUGCCAAACAAAGAUGAGACCACGGACACCGGAGACAACUCAGUAUUAAGUGAUGAGUGCAAUGGAAAAUGUGCUCAUCAGUGUGUGAGUAAUGAUACCUGCAGCUGCUUCAGAGGCUAUAAACUGAAACCAGAUGGAAAGAACUGCGAGGACAUUAACGAGUGUCUGCUGGGCACGAGCAACUGCCGAGCGGGCGAGCGCUGCAUCAACAUCGACGGCUCUUUCCGCUGCCAGAGAGAGGUCAGCUGCGGAACCGGCUACGAACUGACGGACGACAACAACUGCAAAGAUAUUGACGAGUGCGAGACCGGCAUCCAUAACUGUGGCCCAGAAUUCGAGUGCCAAAACACCCAGGGCUCAUUCCGAUGCCUCCCCAAGGUCAAAUGCGGCGCUGGUUUUAUCCAAGAUGCACUGGGCAAGUGCAUUGAUAUCAACGAAUGUGUUAGCCAGACAGGCCCGUGCCAAAAAGGCCAGCUUUGUAUCAAUACAGUGGGCUCAUACAUCUGCCAGAGGAACUCUGUCAACUGCGGAAGGGGCUACCACCUCAAUGACGACGGCACACGCUGCAUUGACAUUGAUGAGUGCAAAGGCCCCGAAACGGUGUGCACGGGUCACGCCUGCAUCAACACGAUGGGCUCCUACCAUUGCGAGUGUGACAAAGGCUACAACUUCAACAGCAUAAGUCGCCUCUGCGAGGAUCUUAACGAAUGCAGGCACUACCCCGGACGCCUCUGUGCUCACAAGUGCGACAACACACCGGGAUCCUACAAGUGCAGCUGCACCACAGGCUUCAAGCUGUCCAGGGAUGGCAGGAACUGUGAUGACUUAAACGAGUGUGAAAGUAACCCGUGCAGUCAAGAAUGUGCCAACGUUUACGGCUCCUACCAGUGUUACUGCCGCCGUGGUUACCAACUCAGUGACACUGAUGGAGUGACGUGCGAAGAUAUAGACGAAUGCGCCCUGCCCACCGGGGGUCACAUCUGCUCCUACCGCUGCCACAACACCCCCGGAAGCUUCCACUGUUCCUGCCCAGUUAGCGGGUACACCUUAGCGCCCAAUGGACGCGGCUGCCAAGAUGUUGAUGAAUGUGUGGCAGGCACACACACGUGCGCAGAGAACCAGAGCUGCUUCAACGUGCAAGGCGGAUUCCGCUGCCUGUCCUUCGACUGCCCCAACAACUACCGCCGAAUUGGGGAAACUCGAUGUGAACGCUUGCUUUGCAAUGAGUCUGUCGAGUGCCUGGCCAUGCCGUUGAGAAUAACCUACUACCACCUCACCUUCCCCGCCAACAUCCCCGUCUCCACCAACAUCUUCCGCAUGGGCCCCUCCCACACGGUGCCGGGCGACGACAUCCGCAUCGCCAUCACCGCGGGCAACGAGGGCGGCUUCUUCAAAACGGAGCAAGUCGCCGGCGGCGGCGUCAUGUCCGUGGCGAGGGUCUUCGACGGCCCGCGGGACUCUGAGCUCUCCGUAGAGCUCGGGCUGCGUCGCUACGGCACGCUCAGCACGUACUUGGCCAAAGUGAUGGUGUUCGUCACCCAGGAUGAGCCCCGUGUCGUAUACAACCCGCAGCUCGAAUAAGGACGACGGCUCAGCAAGGCUUGCUUGCGCUGCGUUGGCUUUUGUCAUUUUGACGAGAAUUUUCAUGCAAGAAAGAAGCCCAACUGUCAGGAGAGCAAAAUCCAACUUACAAGAGAGAUACAGCAGUCGUACUUUUAUUAGAAGAAAGUGAAAAUAUUACAAGAAAAAUUUACGAGAAUGGUUUUAGUUUGGCGAGAAUUUUUUUAUUUUACAAGGAUAAAGUCAUGCUUUUCAGAGGACAAAAACUUAUAAUUUUGCUUGACUAUAGCUUCAAUUUUACAGAAAAAAUACAAUAUUACUAAAAAAAAUUCAUAAUUUUUAAGCAAUAAAAUGGUAAUUUUACAAGCAUAUUGUAAUUUUUAUGAGUCGUAAGAUGACAUACAAAAAGUUGACAUUUUGCAAUGCAUUUUUUUGCAAUAGUAAAAGUUGUAAAAUGGCGUGAAAGCUACAAUAAAGUUUUAAUAAAGUUUCAAUAAAGUAGGACAUAUGAUCGGAAAAAGUCGCCAUAUGGCAAGAAUGUACGUUUAAUUUUACAGAAAAAAAUUGAUGUAAUAUUAAAGAUGAAAAAUCAUAAUAAGAUGAGAAUAAGUAGCCAUUUUCAAAAAAUAGAGUUGUAAUUUCUCGAGAAUUAAGUCUUCAUAUUAAGAGAAAAGGUGGCACAUUUACAAGAAUACAACUAUAAUUUUAUGGGAAUAGUUGUGAUACAGAAAAGCUGCAGUUUUGCAAGAACUAAGAUGGAAUUAUUUUUUAGAUCAACGUUGUUACAAGAAAAGCCCAGAUUUUUGCACAAAUAAACCAGUUUUGAAAAAUAAAGUCAUCAUUUUUCGAGAAUAAAGUUACGCAAAAAAGUUAGUCUUACAUACAUGAAGUCACAAUAUUCUGUGAAAAAUUUAAGUUUAAAAAAUAAAUAAAUAAAUCAUAAUUCCACAAGAACAAAGUCGGAAUAUGAUGGGGAAACUUCCAAUUUUAAGAAGAUGGCCAUAAUUUUGAGAGACUAAUGUUUUACUUUAACACAAAUAAAGUUUCAAUUUUAAGAUUUCCAGAGGGAGCAAAAAUUAAAUGAAGUUGUAGUAUUACGGAUUUUUUCAAGUCAAAGUAUUAAAUUAAUAAGAACACAAAAAGAUACAGUAUAUAUAUAUAUUUUUUUUUUUUUUACAGGAUAAGGUUAAAGAUAGGUUCUGAUAUUACCAAAAUAAGUGAGACUUCUAAUCUUAAUUUUUCCAUCAAUCGUGUUGAUCAUUCUUUAGCUCUGGAAUAAAUACAAGUAUUGUUUUGGAUUUCAUUGGUUUUGUACCUCAAACGUACAUCUAGGAGUGCAUUUUUGGCCAUAGUUCUUUUAUUGUUAUUACCAAGUUAAGAUAACAAUUGGCAACUAGAAAUAGUAGCUAAUAUAUACAGUAUUGUUACUUUAUAAAUAAAUUAGGUUCACUUGAAUGUAUCUUGUAAGAAGCAGAGCACUGUGAUAGCAUCUAGGUGGCGCACUACAUCAAGGUAAAGCCUAAAACGUCGGUCUGUCCAGCCGACAACAUGGAGUACUUAAGACUAUUAGUUGUAUGUAUAAAGUCCAAGUAUUUAUAAUACUUGAUGGUUUAUGUGUUGGCUGAGCAGUUUUGUAAUAAAAUAAAAAUAAUGGAACUAAAGCACGCUCCUACGUGAUGAUGUAGGAUUAAAUUAAACACAGCAAAGUGGAGCAGCGAGUCCAAAUCACAGACAACAUUGUUCAUCAUGUGAAAAUACAUGAGAAAAAUAUAUCUGCACCAUAUUAAGUCAAUAAUACAGUCCACAAUUAUGUUAACUUUUACUAUUGCAGUUCAGUUUAGAUAGUCACCAUCAUAAAACCUUAAUAAUAUUGCAAUACCACCUCAUCUGGGAGUAGAUAAACCAAAAGAGGCCUUAAUAGAACCAUCUACAUCCACACAACAUCCUACUGGCAAGACUCUGACACACUCGGAAAUGCUGGACAAAAGUACUACUUACUUGACUUACAAGUUCAAUUCGUGCCACACUCACAAGAAGGCAGUCCCCCAAAAAUAUAUGCUUGUGUGUAUUGUUAUAGUGUCUGUCUACAUGUUUUGCGCCACAAUUUGUGUUUAAAUAUUUAAAGGGUUUGCAGAUCAAACGUUCUCCCCACGAAAAGCAAUCUUCGACAGGGGGCCUCAAUAGCCACUAUCACACAUUUGGAUGCCCCCCCCCCCCAUCUCCGAAAGCUACCAACGCCCCUGCCUCCAGCAAGUCCCAGAGAUGCAGUUAUCCCUUUCACAGAGACAAAAGGAUCUCACUAGUGACUACUUUAGUUACAAAAUCCAUAAGUUUAAGGAAUAUUUUUUCCCCAAAACAAAUUUGUCGAACUCCAAAUUUUACAAGCUUUAAGACGCUGGACUUCUGCUACAGUAUAAAUACCUCGUCAUGUACGUGUGGCUUGUAAAAAGUGUAAAUUCAGACGGUGUCACGCACCAUAUCCUUGUUUCCGAACAGGAGCGGGGGAUACCCUUAAAAUAAGAACCUAGUGGUGUACCGGGCAUUUUUUUUUUUUUUAAUUCCGCUUUGAUUUUUGAGUUAUGGGACUCUGGGAUCUGGACAAUUUGCGGUCCAGCAACUUCACCACUCUCUAAAUGAAUGAUGCUCUGGCGUGUUUGUGUUGGGACGUUAUCAACUUGCCAGCUAUAAAUAAUAAUUACUAAAAAUAAUAACCAAAAAAAAAAAAAAGGCCUAAGGCUUGACCAGAGGAGUUACGUCCAAGAAAGUCUUGUUUUUCUUUCUGGUCUGCAAGUAUCGGGGGGUUUUCCACAUAAGGCUGGGGAACACGUAGAAACACUCAUACAAAAGCACGUUCGUAUCCGCAUGUGGACAAACAGACGUAAAGUCGUUAAAAAGACGCUGUAAUUAGCCCGCUAGCCUGGCUUUGACCGUAUGUGCGUAAAAGAGCGGUUCAUCCUAGGUCAUUAUCUUCUCAUCAAUUCAUCCCGCCACCUCAAAAGAGCUUCCACCCCAUCCUCCAGAGAAUACCGCUCAGGUUUUGCUAAAGCUCAGGCCGUGCUGGUGUAAAAAGCAGGAGAACAUUUUGUGGGUUUGGACCGGGCUGAAACAAAACUUGGAACCGGCCGCUAAUUGUUAAUUACAAGCCCCUACCCGCUGGUGGCUGGCCUUCUUGUCUGGGGGCUUUUGCGUUUAGUUCUCCGUGAAAAAGCAGCCCAACCCAGUCCAGACCAACCUGAACUUGUUUAAACUCAACAGGCUAUAGGUCCCCGACGGAGAACCAAACAUCCACAGACCACAACUCAGUAUAGAGCCAUAGCUGCACGUCUGCACCUAAACACGGCGACAUGGUUGUUUUCAUAAUCCAAUAUGCAGUGGUUCCAUCCAAGGUCCAAUGCCUUAAAGCUUGUAAAACUUUCACUCAAACUCAUAAUUUAAGGAAAAAUAUGCCUCAAAUGUUGUCACUGAUCGCAUCCUCCAUGCAUCCCACUAAAACCCAUUUUAAGACGGUAUUUUUUGGGGGAAUGAACUAGGGCUUUUCCUGUUUUUGUCCUUGAAUAAAAUAUUCACAAAACAAAUUGCAUCUCUCAACAAGCAAGACAGACUUGACACAAGAAGGCUGGAUCCGAAAUUUGAACCACAAAUCUUAACACUGCGAGGCAGAUAUUCCAACCACUCAUUCACAUGUGGAUUCACAAUUAAAAUAUCAACAUUGUACGUUAUUCUACCUAAAUUUACAACUAAAACUGGGUAUUUGUGUGACGGUAGUACCUUUCUGAUGAAUGGCACUAAGACCAAACACCUUUUUUUGCUACACGUAACAUACACCGAUGGUGGUAUAAAGGUUUAGCUAGCAGCUCGAUCACAAUAUUAAGAGCACAAAUUUAAGUCUAAGUCAGUUUAGCAUAUUUGGCACGAGCUAAUGAAAUGCAUAGUAAACACGAAGCGACUGUCGAAUUAAAUAUUUUACCCCUUAUUGUAAAACCAAACCUCGUUUUUUCCUUGCCUUAAUGCUAGCUUUAGCAUUAGCAUCGUUAGCAUUAACGGCGCGUCAUUUUUACGCUCACUUUUACUUAACUUCCGACAGCCCUCCUUAUACACAACUUUCAUUGGACAUAGCAGUAACAUUCAGAUUAUUUACUGAGUGGAAAGGGUCGGCUCAGUUUGACCGCUCCGACCCGAUACGAUGUGUCAAGUCCUGCCAGCCAAACGAUGUCGCCUGCAUCAUGGAUGACACGCACUCGGUGUCUCACACCUUCAU